AGUAACAAAGCUGACAUCAAAACAGAUGACUUUGGCUUUUGAUGACUAAGAAGAUAGUUUGUACAGCAAAAAGAUCCUGUGUGAAUAUGCAUUAAUUAGCAGUUUUGGAAACUAGGAUGGAAAUAAUGAUUGAAAGGGUUGGCCUAAUACCGAAGGACCUGUAGAGAAAACAAGUGACAUGAAACUUUAAGUAGUGUAAAAAAAAAAAUCCCAGUGAAAAAUCCUCCCCUCUGAACCAUGGCUGAUCAAAUGUGGAACAGACAUAACUGCAUCAAAGAAGCAUUCAGUGUCCUUAGCACCAACGGUGGCAUGAAGAUGAGACAGAGAAGCACACUACUUCGUCAUAAGUUUUUAGAUCCUUAUCGUGGUUAUUCAGAAGACAUGUCAACUCAGCCAGAUUGUAGUUUGAAAUUCAUUAACAACAUAAAUUGUAGAAGAGUUAACCGCUGGCUGACACACAAAAUACCAGAGGUGGUAGCUUUGGAAGACAUCUUCCCUUCGGAAGACCAAAAGUUCCUCCAUACAUCUUCAAACUGGGUCUCCCCAGCAACAGAAACCCAUGAUGAUGUUUCUAUGGAAACAGUAAUCGAUUUUAAAAUGCCAGGGGAUACAAUCAGUAAAGAGAAGAAGGAUUUUCCAACAAGACUUGUAAUGUCAUUUGAACUACCUAGGAACUCUGAAGUAAUUGCUGAUGCAAUGUGGCCGACACCUGAUCAUUCCUUACUUAUGGAUAUUGAUCCUUCAAAAUCCAGGGGAUUCCUAGAAAGCCCAGUCACAGCUGCUCUGCAACAACCCAUGCUAACAGAGUGUGAGGGUGACGUUACCAUGUGUGAGCAACCAAUAAUCAAGAGCAAACAAAUAUUUCCAAUUCUAGAGUUUGUUGGUGAAAAAUUAAGAGAAAAACUGCAUGUUGACCUAAACUGAGUGACCCAUCAUUCAGAUAAUCGAGUCCUGAGACUAUCAUCUGUGGCCACUUCACUCUGAGCAUGAAUGAUCUUUCACAGCUUCAACUAUGGAUGACUUUUAAAAUAGCUCAGAUGAAAUAAAGCACAAAGAAAC